AGCUACACAUGCAGUCGAGCGGUAGCACAGAGAGCUUGCUCUCGGGUGACGAGCGGCGGACGGGUGAGUAAUGUCUGGGAAACUGCCUGAUGGAGGGGGAUAACUACUGGAAACGGUAGCUAAUACCGCAUAACGUCGCAAGACCAAAGUGGGGGACCUUCGGGCCUCAUGCCAUCAGAUGUGCCCAGAUGGGAUUAGCUGGUAGGUGGGGUAACGGCUCACCUAGGCGACGAUCCCUAGCUGGUCUGAGAGGAUGACCAGCCACACUGGAACUGAGACACGGUCCAGACUCCUACGGGAGGCAGCAGUGGGGAAUAUUGCACAAUGGGCGCAAGCCUGAUGCAGCCAUGCCGCGUGUGUGAAGAAGGCCUUCGGGUUGUAAAGCACUUUCAGCGGGGAGGAAGGCGGUGAGGUUAAUAACCUCAUCGAUUGACGUUACCCGCAGAAGAAGCACCGGCUAACUCCGUGCCAGCAGCCGCGGUAAUACGGAGGGUGCAAGCGUUAAUCGGAAUUACUGGGCGUAAAGCGCACGCAGGCGGUCUGUCAAGUCGGAUGUGAAAUCCCCGGGCUCAACCUGGGAACUGCAUUCGAAACUGGCAGGCUAGAGUCUUGUAGAGGGGGGUAGAAUUCCAGGUGUAGCGGUGAAAUGCGUAGAGAUCUGGAGGAAUACCGGUGGCGAAGGCGGCCCCCUGGACAAAGACUGACGCUCAGGUGCGAAAGCGUGGGGAGCAAACAGGAUUAGAUACCCUGGUAGUCCACGCUGUAAACGAUGUCGAUUUGGAGGUUGUGCCCUUGAGGCGUGGCUUCCGGAGCUAACGCGUUAAAUCGACCGCCUGGGGAGUACGGCCGCAAGGUUAAAACUCAAAUGAAUUGACGGGGGCCCGCACAAGCGGUGGAGCAUGUGGUUUAAUUCGAUGCAACGCGAAGAACCUUACCUGGUCUUGACAUCCACAGAACUUUCCAGAGAUGGAUUGGUGCCUUCGGGAACUGUGAGACAGGUGCUGCAUGGCUGUCGUCAGCUCGUGUUGUGAAAUGUUGGGUUAAGUCCCGCAACGAGCGCAACCCUUAUCCUUUGUUGCCAGCGGUUAGGCCGGGAACUCAAAGGAGACUGCCAGUGAUAAACUGGAGGAAGGUGGGGAUGACGUCAAGUCAUCAUGGCCCUUACGACCAGGGCUACACACGUGCUACAAUGGCAUAUACAAAGAGAAGCGACCUCGCGAGAGCAAGCGGACCUCAUAAAGUAUGUCGUAGUCCGGAUUGGAGUCUGCAACUCGACUCCAUGAAGUCGGAAUCGCUAGUAAUCGUAGAUCAGAAUGCUACGGUGAAUACGUUCCCGGGCCUUGUACACACCGCCCGUCACACCAUGGGAGUGGGUUGCAAAAGAAGUAGGUAGCUUAACCUUCGGGAGGGCGCUACCA
rnacentral:rRNA from 1 species